rfam:Gossypium arboreum cultivar AKA8401 contig_15013_1, whole genome shotgun sequence.
UCUGAAAAUUUACAUCCAUUUAUACUAUUAAAAAACUAGACAAUUACAUGUACCUCAUGCUAAUGUACCGGGACCAAUUUUUAACAGUAGAAAUGGAUGCAAAUUUUAAUA